GGACUACUAGGGUUUCUAAUCCUGUUUGCUCCCCUAGCUUUCGCGCCUCAGCGUCAGUUAUGGUCCAGUGAGCCGCUUUCGCCACAGGUGUUCCUUCCGAUAUCUACGCAUUUCACCGCUACACCGGAAAUUCCACUCACCUCUCCCAUACUCAAGCCCGGCAGUUUCCAGUGCAGACUUCGAGUUGAGCCCGAAGAUUUCACACUAGACUUGCCAAACCGCCUACGCGCCCUUUACGCCCAAUAAUUCCGAACAACGCUUGCCCCCCUCGUAUUACCGCGGCUGCUGGCAC
rnacentral:rRNA from 1 species